UAGAGAUUUCCUGCAUGGAGUUUGGGAGGAUGGGAGGUGGUCCUCCAAACAUAAUUUCAUAAAGAGUAAGCCCCUCCUGGUAAAGAGUGCAUCUGGCCCUGAACAGGACAAAGGAGAGGAGGUUGGUCCAGUUUUCUGUUUCCAGGAUCAGUUUGGUCCGGGGGUCAUUUGAUCAAUGCUGAAAACUUUCAAAGAAAGAAGCUCAUCUCUGCCAGUUCUGGAGCUGUGAAGCCCAGUUCCAAGAAGCCAGCGUUCGCCCGGAAUCUGCCCGUGCAUCGUGUCCUGGGGGAGAUGUCACACGACCAGAGCUCAGGCACAGACAGACAGCAUCUUCAAAGCAACAACUUAAAACUGUAGGAAGAAAUCCUAACUCUGGAAGACAUUCUAAUACCAAAAGGAGAAAUAAAGCUACUGACCUGGGGGAAGACAUGGAGGUGAUGCACGCUGAGGCUCUGGACUCCUGGAUGCCUUUAAAUUCAAGUAGACCUUUGAUGUGUCCAUUGCAGAUGGGAGACGUGACAGUGAACCUGUGAGCUGGGACAAACUCCAAGUUGUGUGAGGCAGGGCCUGUUAAGAAAACAAAACAAAAAACAAAGCAGCUUGAGAGACAGCUGGCAUCGUGGUCCUACCUAGCCUUUAAAGACUGAACCACUUCUCCAGCCUGCGGCGGGUUUUCAGUCUUUUCUCUGAAGUGCUUCAGAACAGUUGGCGAACCGUUUCUGUUGAGCAUAUCCACACUUGUGUUCCCUAAGUCGGAGAUAAAAACAAACACUGGGGAUCGCAUCCUCACAAGCCCGAAAGCCCUUUCCUCCGAGGAGCGCCCCCUGCUGUUCGCUCUGGAAACAGGCUACCGGCUCUCCUGCUCACCCACGCGUGGACUCAUCUGCUCUCUCCAUUCCUCUGCCCUGUCGACCCUCGGCAUCCACAGCAGAUCAGCGCAGGGGCAGGCAGCUCACGGAGGCGGCCUCCUCGGGGAUGACUGACGGGUCUCAAAACCCAAUCCUGGGAAUCUGCUGGGGCCACUAACACUAGGAGGCUUGACACUGAGGUCCACGUGCCAGACUCCAGGAGAGGCCGGGUGAGGGUGGGGAAAGCUCUCAAUCUGAAAAUAAAACAGUGUGUGGACCCCGCUGGUUCUCGCCUAGUGGCCCUCCUUCACCAGAACACUUGCCGUCCUUCAGCUGUGGACACCUCUUUCGAGGAACUCCGUGGCUCCUGUGCAUCUCACCCCAGCUUUUCAUUUUUUGGCCAGAAUUAGGUUUAGGAUUUCCAACUAUCUGUGUGCCAUGGACUGUGUGUGUGGAGAUUUCAUGACAGAUUGAAUAGUUUUUAAAAUUUUAAUAGCCAAGGACUUCAAUAGGCACUAUAGCGAAAAAGAGACAGGGGUGGCCAAAAAGUGUUUUAAAGAGGGAAUGCUGAACACACAAGCAUGAAGUUAGUAUAAAUCUAAGAAGACAGCAUCCCUCCUCCCCUCUCACCACCUCUCGGCUCCCACAGCCAGAUUUCCAACCCUAUUGCACAGGUUCUCUUGGCGUUGGAGGCCGAGAUGUCUUGUUGACAUGGAUGUCUUGUUUGAGGCUGAGCUCUCAGCACUCAGUGCUUUGACCAUCUAAGGCUGCUCUGCCUCACCAAGUCUGCAGGCAGAUGCAGUCCUGUGCGGCCUCUCAGGCCUGUCCCAAG
ensembl:lncRNA